rnacentral:rRNA from 1 species
AUUGAACGCUGGCGGCAGGCUUAACACAUGCAAGUCGAGCGGGGUGAUGGUGCUUGCACUAUCACUUAGCGGCGGACGGGUGAGUAAUGCUUAGGAAUCUGCCUAUUAGUGGGGGACAACAUCUCGAAAGGGAUGCUAAUACCGCAUACGUCCUACGGGAGAAAGCAGGGGAUCACUUGUGACCUUUCGCUAAUAGAUGAGCCUAAGUCGGAUUAGCUAGUUGGUGGGGUAAAGGCCUACCAAGGCGACGAUCUGUAGCGGGUCUGAGAGGAUGAUCCGCCACACUGGGACUGAGACACGGCCCAGACUACUACGGGAGGCAGCAGUGGGGAAUAUUGGACAAUGGGGGGAACCCUGAUCCAGCCAUGCCGCGUGUGUGAAGAAGGCCUUAUGGUUGUAAAGCACUUUAAGCGAGGAGGAGGCUCUUUUGGUUAAUACCCAAGAUGAGUGGACGUUACUCGCAGAAUAAGCACCGGCUAACUCUGUGCCAGCAGCCGCCGUAA